rnacentral:rRNA from 1 species
CUACGUGCCAGCAGCCGCGGUAAUACGGAGGAUGCGAGCGUUAUCCGGAUUUAUUGGGCUUAAAGGGUGCGUAGGCGGCCUGUUAAGUCAGCGGUGAAAUCUAGGAGCUUAACUCCUAAAUUGCCAUUGAUACUGGCGGGCUUGAGUGUAGAUGAGGUAGGCGGAAUGCGUGGUGUAGCGGUGGAAUGCAUAGAUAUCACGCAGAACUCCGAUUGCGAAGGCAGCUUACUAAGGUACAACUGACGCUGAAGCACGAAAGCGUGGGUAUCAAACAGGAUUAGAUACCCUGGUAGUCCACGCAGUAAACGAUGAUAACUGGGCGUAUGCGAUAUACAGUAUGCUCCUAAGCGAAAGCGUUAAGUUAUCCACCUGGGGAGUACGCCGGCAACGGUGAAACUCAAAGGAAUUGACGGGGGCCCGCACAAGCGGAGGAACAUGUGGUUUAAUUCGAUGAUACGCGAGGAACCUUACCCGGGAUUGAA